UACGGAGGAUGCGAGCGUUAUCCGGAUUUAUUGGGUUUAAAGGGUGCGCAGGCGGAUUUUUAAGUCAGCGGUCAAAUCGUGGGGCUCAACCCCAUCCAGCCGUUGAAACUGGGGAUCUAGAGUGUGCGAGAGGUAUGCGGGAUGCGUGGUGUAGCGGUGAAAUGCAUAGAUAUCACGCAGAACCCCGAUUGCGUAGGCAGCAUACCGGUGCACAACUGACGCUCAGGCACGAAAGCGUGGGUAUCGAACAGG
rnacentral:rRNA from 1 species